UCCUACGGGAGGCAGCAGUGGGGAAUUUUGGACAAUGGGCGAAAGCCUGAUCCAGCAAUGCCGCGUGCAGGAUGAAGGCCCUCGGGUUGUAAACUGCUUUUGUACGGAACGAAAAGCCUGGGGCUAAUAUCCCCGGGUCAUGACGGUACCGUAAGAAUAAGCACCGGYYKUAYGSGWGGCAGCAGCCGCGGUAAUACGUAGGGUGCAAGCGUUAAUCGGAAUUACUGGGCGUAAAGCGUGCGCAGGCGGUUUUGUAAGACAGUGGUGAAAUCCCCGGGCUCAACCUGGGAACUGCCAUUGUGACUGCAAGGCUAGAGUGCGGCAGAGGGGGAUGGAAUUCCGCGUGUAGCAGUGAAAUGCGUAGAUAUGCGGAGGAACACCGAUGGCGAAGGCAAUCCCCUGGGCCUGCACUGACGCUCAUGCACGAAAGCGUGGGGAGCAAACAGGAUUAGAUACCCUGGUAGUCCACGCCCUAAACGAUGUCAACUGGUUGUUGGGUCUUAACUGACUCAGUAACGAAGCUAACGCGUGAAG
rnacentral:rRNA from 1 species